rnacentral:rRNA from 1 species
GCUAAGCCCUAAACAUUGAAAAGCAUAAUACCAUGCUUUCCGCCAGAGAAUUACGAGCAACAAGCUUAAAACUCAAAGGACUUGACGGUGUCCCACAUCGACCUAGAGGAGCCUGUCCUAUAAUCGAUACCCCCCGUUCCACCCAACCCUUACUAGCAAUAUCAGCCUAUAUACCGCCGUCGACAGUCUACCCCAUGAGGGUUAAACAGUAGAUAUAAUAGUUAAUAACUAAUACGUCAGGUCAAGGUGUAGCAAAUGUAGGGGAAGAGAUUGGCUACAUUUUUUAUUCUAAAAAACACGAAAUGCACUAUGAAACAAUGCAUGAAGGCGAAUUUAGCAGUAAAAUAAACAAGAGUGUUUAUUUUAACAUCGCUCUGGGACGCGUACACACCGCCCGUCACCCUCCUCAAGCCCUAUAACAACAUCUAUAAAUAAAACCCCCGGCACAAGAGGAGGU